CCUACGGGAGGCUGCAGUGGGGAAUAUUGCACAAUGGGGGGAACCCUGAUGCAGCGACGCCGCGUGAGUGAAGAAGUAUUUCGGUAUGUAAAGCUCUAUCAGCAGGGAAGAAAAUGACGGUACCUGACUAAGAAGCCCCGGCUAACUACGUGCCAGCAGCCGCGGUAAUACGUAGGGGGCAAGCGUUAUCCGGAUUUACUGGGUGUAAAGGGGGCGUAGACGGUUAUGCAAGUCUGAAGUGAAAGCCCAAGGCUCAACCACGGGACUGCUUUGGAAACUGUAAAACUGGAGUGGAGGAGAGGUAAGCGGAAGUCGUAGUGUAGCGGUGAAAUGCGUAGAUAUUAGGAGGAACUCCGGUGGCGAAGGCGGCUUACUGGACUGUAACUGACGUUGAGGCUCGAAGGCGUGGGGAGCGAACAGGAUUAGAUACCCGUGUAGUC
rnacentral:rRNA from 1 species